UACAGAGGUCUCAAGCGUUGUUCGGAUUCAUUGGGCGUAAAGGGUGUGUAGGUGGCGCCGUAAGUCGGGUGUGAAAUCUCGGAGCUUAACUUCGAAACUGCAUUCGAUACUGCGGUGCUUGAGGACUGGAGAGGAGACUGGAAUUUACGGGUGUAGCAGUGAAAUGCGUAGAUAUCGUAAGGAAGACCAGUGGCGAAGGGCGGGGUCUCUGGACAGUUCCCUGACACUGAGACACGAAGGCCCAGGGGGAGCAAACGGGG
rnacentral:rRNA from 1 species